rnacentral:rRNA from 1 species
UACGUAGGGUGCGAGCGUUGUCCGGAUUUACUGGGCGUAAAGGGCGCGUAGGCGGCCUAGCAAGUCACUUGUGAAAUCUCCGGGCUUAACUCGGAACUGCCAAGUGAAACUGCUGGGCUAGAGUGCAGAAGGGGCAAUCGGAAUUCUUGGUGUAGCGGUGAAAUGCGUAGAUAUCAAGAGGAACACCUGAGGUGAAGACGGGUUGCUGGGCUGACACUGACGCUGAGGCGCGAAAGCCAGGGGAGCAAACGGG